GAUGAAGAACGCAGCGAAAUGUGAUACUUGGUGUGAAUUGCAGAAUCCCGUGAACCAUCGAGUUUUUGAACGCACCUUGCGCCCUUUGGCUAUUCCGAAGGGCAUGCCUGUUUGAGUAUCAUGAACACCUCAACUCUUCACGGCUUGCCGUGAUGAGUUUGGACUUUGGGGGUCUUGCUGGCCUACGAGCCAGCUCCUCUCAAAUGUAUUAGCUUGCCGGUGUUUGGUGGCAUCACAGGUGUGAUAACUAUCUACGCUUGUGGUUUUCCACUAGGUAACCUUCAGCAAUGGAGGUUCACCGGAGCUCACAAAUGUCUCUCCUUGCCAAGGACAGAUUUUGACCAUUUGAUCUCAAAUCAGGUAGGACUACCCGCUGAACUUAAGCAUAUCAAUAAGCGGAGGA
rnacentral:misc_RNA from 1 species